GGAGUACGAAGGUGCGCUCAGCGUGGUCGGAAAUCACGCGUAGAGUAUAAAGGCAAAAGCGCGCUUAACUGCGAGACCCACAAGUCGAGCAGGUACGAAAGUAGGUCUUAGUGAUCCGGUGGUUCUGUAUGGAAGGGCCAUCGCUCAACGGAUAAAAGGUACUCUGGGGAUAACAGGCUGAUACCGCCCAAGAGUUCAUAUCGACGGCGGUGUUUGGCACCUCGAUGUCGGCUCAUCUCAUCCUGGGGCUGAAGCAGGUCCCAAGGGUAUGGCUGUUCGCCAUUUAAAGAGGUACGCGAGCUGGGUUUAGAACGUCGUGAGACAGUUCGGUCCCUAUCUACCGUGGGCGCUGGAAAUUUGAGAGGAUCUGCUCCUAGUACGAGAGGACCAGAGUGGACGAACCUCUGGUGUACCGGUUGUGACGCCAGUCGCAUCGCCGGGUAGCUAUGUUCGGAAGGGAUAACCGCUGAAAGCAUCUAAGCGGGAAGCCUACCUCAAGAUAAGAUUUCCCUAGGACUUUAUGUCCUCUAAAGAGCCGUUCGAGACUAGGACGUUGAUAGGUUGGAUGUGGAAGCAUAGUGAUAUGUGAAGCUGACCAAUACUAAUUGCUCGUGAGGCUUGACUAUACAACACCCAAGCAGUUG
rnacentral:rRNA from 1 species